rnacentral:rRNA from 1 species
ACGGAGGGUGCGAGCGUUGUCCGGAAUCAUUGGGCGUAAAGGGCGCGUAGGUGGCCCGGUCAGCGUGCGGUGAAAGCUCGGGGCUCAACCCCGAGUCGGCCGUGCGAACUGCUGGGCUCGAGCACUGUAGAGGCAGGCGGAAUUCCGGGUGUAGCGGUGGAAUGCGUAGAGAUCCGGAAGAACACCGGUGGCGAAGGCGGCCUGCUGGGCAGUAGCUGACACUGAGGCGCGACAGCGUGGGGAGCAAACAGGA